CCUACGGGUGGCAGCAGUGGGGAAUAUUGGACAAUGGGCGAAAGCCUGAUCCAGCCAUGCCGCGUGUGUGAAGAAGGCCUUCGGGUUGUAAAGCACUUUCAGUGGGGAAGAAAGCCUUGGGGCUAAUACCCUCGAGGAAGGACAUCACCCACAGAAGAAGCACCGGCUAACUCCGUGCCAGCAGCCGCGGUAAUACGGAGGGUGCGAGCGUUAAUCGGAAUUACUGGGCGUAAAGCGCGCGUAGGCGGUCUGAUAAGCCGGUUGUGAAAGCCCCGGGCUCAACCUGGGAACGGCAUCCGGAACUGUCAGGCUAGAGUGCAGGAGAGGAAGGUAGAAUUCCCGGUGUAGCGGUGAAAUGCGUAGAGAUCGGGAGGAAUACCAGUGGCGAAGGCGGCCUUCCGGACUGACACUGACGCUGAGGUGCGAAAGCGUGGGUAGCAAACAGGAUUAGAUACCCCGGUAGUC
rnacentral:rRNA from 1 species